CACGUAGGGUGCGAGCGUUGUCCGGAAUUAUUGGGCGUAAAGAGCUCGUAGGCGGUCUGUCGCGUCUGCUGUGAAAACUCGGGGCUUAACCCCGGGCCUGCAGUGGGUACGGGCAGACUAGAGUGCGGUAGGGGAGACUGGAAUUCCUGGUGUAGCGGUGAAAUGCGCAGAUAUCAGGAGGAACACCGGUGGCGAAGGCGGGUCUCUGGGCCGUAACUGACGCUGAGGAGCGAAACCAUGGGGAGCGAACAGG
rnacentral:rRNA from 1 species